rnacentral:rRNA from 1 species
CCUACGGGAGGCAGCAGUAGGGAAUCUUUCACAAUGGGCGAAAGCCUGAUGGAGCAACGCCGCGUGCAGGAUGGAGGCCUUCGGGUUGUAAACUGCUUUUAUAAGCGAGAAAUAUGAUGGUAACUUAUGAAUAAGGAUCGGCUAACUACGUGCCAGCAGCCGCGGUCAUACGUAGGAUCCGAGCAUUAUCCGGAGUGAAUGGGUGUAAAGAGUUGCGUAGGUGGCAUAAUAAGUAGCUAGUGAAAUCUGGUGGCUCAACCAUUCAGACUAUUAGCGAAACUGUUAAGCGUGAGACCGUUAGGGGUAACUGGAAUUUCUAGUGUAGGAGUGAAAUGCGUAGAUAUUAGAAAGAACACCGAUAGCGUAGGCAGGUUACUGGGACGGUUCUGACACUAAGGCACGAAAGCGUAGGGAGCAAACGGGAUUAGAUACCCCUGUAGUC